GGGUUCUUAGUAAAUGCCUGAUUAUGCUGUUCCUUUGGGCCUAGUGAAGAAACCUGUCUCAGGGGGGUUCCCUAACUCUUUCAUGGUUAACCUCUACCUAUUUGCUGAGCCACUGUGUGUUCCCUUGUUUGGGUGAGACUCUGCUACUGUCCUAAGUAAUCACUCUGCAGACCAUCCCUGAGCUAUCGUAGCUCUGAUCUUUGUAAUGCCUAAUUAGUUUCACCAUCUCUCCUAGAAAUAGAUUUGAAUGUUACUGAAUAGGUACCAUUCUCACUGAAUUCCUACUGAAUUCCAAGCUCAUUGGCUUCAAGGAUUUUCUAGGAUGUUGGAAAACUGGUAGAGGCUCACCUAUAUUAAAAUUCAAUCUUUAAAGGCACUUAUAAUAAAAUAAUAUUGAAAGAGAGCAUACCCCAUAUGUGGGGAUAGGGUUUGAGUAUACGGGGUAUGAGAAUGCCAAAGUUUCGGGAGGCUGAGUUUCCUUGAACCUUUUUGCCUCCUCGUGACUGCCUCCAGGCCUUUUGACCUCAACAGGCAGACUUCACUGGAGCAGGCAUAGCAAUCGUUGUUCUCAGUCUAGUUUGCUAACAAACACCAAACAUGAGUCAGCAGCUGCAGUCUAGUCUAUUGAGUAGAUACCACACAUGAAUCAGGAAGGGUAGUUCAAUCCAAAACAAACCAGGUCAUCAAAAACACCUUAAUGAUGUGUUGACUGUAGAAUGGAACAUGCAAAAGUUUCACGGUGGGGGUGUGGUCUUAGUUAUGUAUGUACAUGGAAUGAAAAAAUAUGCUUACCAGCAAAACUUUUAAGGAUUAUAUCAAAUCCAGGAAGUUCUCUUAUCAUCAGAGACAUGGAGAUCUUCACAAAGCAAAUUGCCCAAGUGAUUCACAGACUGUCUCAAUAUCUGAUUUUUAAACAAUUCAUGGAAAUCAGUUUCAAAAGGGUUAGCUCAAGCUCUUGAUCACACACACAUACUGGAUAAACACAGAGAUUGGUCAAUAUAUAGACUGAUACAAUACAGAAACUGGAUAAACACAGAGAUUGGGCAAUAAAUGCUACAGCUAGCAUUAUUCAGACUAACCAUAUUUUCCCCUUGGGGCCCAAAACAGGAACCCUUUGACCCAAUACAGCAGGAGAAGAAGCCUAAAUCGCUUAAGUUGAGGUGGAGAGGGAACAACCUCCCAGAGAGGUGGGGGAAAAGAAGUUUCCACUGAGAGGACAGAAGAUGAGCAUCCACAUCAAGCUUACUAGUGAGGUGGGUCCCUCAACUUGCAUUCUAAUCUUGGUUGAAUCACUUUGGUUGGGUUGUAGGUACUGACCCAUUCUCCCCAUGGCCUGGCUA
rnacentral:lncRNA from 1 species